rnacentral:rRNA from 1 species
CCUACGGGUGGCAGCAGUGAGGAAUAUUGGUCAAUGGACGCAAGUCUGAACCAGCCAUGCCGCGUGCAGGAAGACGGCUCUAUGAGUUGUAAACUGCUUUUGUACGAGGGUAAACUCAGAUACGCGUACCUUUCUGAAAGUACCUUACGAAUAAGGAUCGGCUCACUCCGUGCCCGCAGCCGCGGUAAUACGUAGGAUUCAAGCGUUAUCCGGAUUUAUUGGGUUUAAAGGGUGCGUAGGCGGUCGGAUAAGUUAGAGGUGAAAUCCCGAGGCUCAACUUCGGAAUUGCAUCUGAUACUGUUCGGCUAGAGAGUAGUUGCGGUAGGCGGAAUGUAUGGUGUAGCGGUGAAAUGCUUAGAGAUCAUGCAGAACACCGAUUGCGAAGGCAGCUUACCAAGCUACAUCUGACGUUGAGGCACGAAAGCGUGGGGAGCAAACAGGAUUAGAUACCCGAGUAGUC